rnacentral:piRNA from 1 species
CAAAUACCAGAGACUGACUCUUCAGC